AGAGUUUGAUCAUGGCUCAGGACGAACGCUGGCGGCGUGCCUAACACAUGCAAGUUGAGCGACGAACCAGGGCUUGCCCUGGGGCAAAGCAGCGAACGGGUGAGUAACACGUGGGUAACCUGCCCCGAUAACCGGGACAACCCGAGGAAACUCGGGCUAAUACCGGAUGUGCUCACCGGACACGAGUCCGGUGCGUAAAGGAAGCUUCGGCCUCCGUAUCGGGAGGGGCCCGUGGCCCAUUAGUUAGUUGGUGAGGUAACGGCUCACCAAGACCGCGAUGGGUAGCUGGUCUGAGAGGACGAUCAGCCACACUGGGACUGAGACACGGCCCAGACUCCUACGGGAGGCAGCAGUGGGGAAUCUUGCGCAAUGCGCGAAAGCGUGACGCAGCAACGCCGCGUGGGGGAAGAAGGCCUUCGGGUUGUAAACCCCUUUCAGGAGGGACGAAGGUUCGGCGGUGAAUAGCCGCCCGAACUGACGGUACCUCCACAAGAAGCCCCGGCUAACUACGUGCCAGCAGCCGCGGUA
rnacentral:rRNA from 1 species